rnacentral:rRNA from 1 species
CCUACGGGUGGCAGCAGUGGGGAAUAUUGGGCAAUGGAGGAAACUCUGACCCAGCGACGCCGCGUGAGGGAUGAAGGCCUUCGGGUUGUAAACCUCUUUCAGUAGGGAAGAAGCGAAAGUGACGGUACCUACAGAAGAAGCACCGGCUAACUAUGUGCCAGCAGCCGCGGUAAUACAUAGGGUGCAAGCGUUGUCCGGAAUUAUUGGGCGUAAAGAGCUCGUAGGUGGUUCGAUACGUCGGAUGUGAAAAUCAGGGGCUCAACCCCUGACCUGCAUUCGAUACGGUCGAGCUAGAGUUUGGUAGGGGAGACUGGAAUUCCUGGUGUAGCGGUGGAAUGCGCAGAUAUCAGGAGGAACACCGAUGGCGAAGGCAGGUCUCUGGGCCAAUACUGACACUGAGGAGCGAAAGCGUGGGGAGCGAACAGGAUUAGAUACCCUAGUAGUC